AUGCAAUUUAGUUUAAGUAGAACAAUCAACUUGCACUUGGUAAGUGAAGAAAUUCAAUAGC
rnacentral:tRNA from 1 species